rnacentral:lncRNA from 10 species
ACGAGCAGCAGAGCCGCCCAGCAGCAACCACAUUAGGAAGGAAUCGGAAACCAACGCUCCGCUGGCUGUCACCCCUUACCCACUUGCUGUCAGGCCACAGCCUGAGGCAGCCAAACCCAUUUCCUUGGGGAUCCAGCGCAAACCAGAGAGUGUGGACAGGCCGAUGGAAGAAUGUUGGACCAGCUUUAAGAAUGGGCUGUUCUAAGUCAUGAAUAUUGUAGGAAGCAGCUCUAAGGACCACAGGGCUGGAGGGUGCACAGGAAGGGGCCAGUGCAUACAGGUGUCCAAACAGUGUCAUCCGGUGUCCUGACAUGCGGCCCCAAUGGACUGAUCCAGGGUGGAAAGGAAGAGUGAGAAGAAAUCAGACAGAAGAAUUCAGGAGAUGUGGCAACAGAGUGGAUGUAGCAGAAGGGACAUAGAGAGUGCCUAAAGAUGAGUCUUUGGUCAGCAUGUGAUGAAAAGAAUGAAGACACUGGGGAAGUGGGGAGCAGAAGCGGAUGUGGGCCCAGGAGGAAGAAGGUUCCAGAGAGCAGAGAUGGCAAAAAGAUGCAUGGAAGAGAGACACAGCAGGGUCGGGUUCUGGCCUCAGGAGCCAAGGGGGAAGUGCCUGAGGAGACCCCCAAAUGAGGCCUGUGUCAAUGAGGUCUUUAGGGGACUGGUUUCCAUGUAUGCCAGGCCAUACUCCCUGGAUUCCCAGCAUUGAGAAGACCAAACACUUCUACACAUUUAUUACUGAAGCCCCCUGCAAGCUGAAGGCGGAGGAAGUGGCCAAUCUCCUAAGCCGUGUGUGGCUGAGGCAGUUGUCAGAGCUGUGAUGAGGGAAAUGCUCAUUAUUCUUCUAUCCCUCACUUGGCCAAAUAAAGAACUUCUUAGAAUUCUUCCCCUGUGACAAAACGGGGCUGUGAUUUGGAAAGCCUCAGGCAAGUUUGCUAGGGCCGCGGUAACCAAGCACCACAGACUGGGUGGCUUCAAAACUGGACGGCUUCAACAGAAAGUUAUUGUUGCUCAGUUCUGGAAGCCAGAAGUCCAAAAUCAAGGUACUUGCAGGGUCAGUUCGAUCUGAGGGCUGCGAGGGAAGGAUCUGUUGUAGACCUCUCUCCUAGGUUUGCAGGCAUUGGUCCUGAUGUUCACAGGGCAUCCUUCCUGUGCCUUCACAUCAUCUUCUCUCUGAAUGUAUCUCUGGGUCCAAAUUUCCCUAUUUUAAAAUAAGGAAAUCAGUCCUAUUGGGUUAGCACCCCGCCCCUCACUUUAACUUGAUUACCUCUGUAAAGACCCUACCUCCAAAUAAGAUCACAUUCUGCGUACUGAGGGCUAGGACCUCAACAUCUGAAUUCAGGGUGGGUGGAUGCACAAUUCAUUCCAUAACAUUAAGAAGGAAGGGAUAAGUGCCCAAGGAAUCACAUGCUCGCUUGGGGAGAGUUCCAAGCGUGCAGAGCUGGUGGUCAUAGCCUAGCCUCAGGCCUUCGGAAAUCCCCUGAAUCUGGUUUUCCCAGUUCUCAUAAUCUCAUUUCACCAAAAUACGGCAUCUCAAUACAUUCCAUGCAUUUCUGGUGACAAGCUCAUUCUGGUGCACGCUAAGCAAUGUGCUAACUACGUCUUAACUAGGGUGGUUUAACUGGUUUGGUUAACAUAGAUCUCUGAGUCAUUUCACGCAUUCCUUAAGCCUAAACAAAUCUCAUCCAGGUGUUUAAGACAUUGCACAAUAUUAGACCAUCUGAAGCUCCAUCUCCUUGGGGCAAUGAUGAUGAUGGUGAUGAAAGUGGCUGGUGACUGUUCUCAGUCUCAUCGCCAUAAUGGAACCCUACGUUGUGUUCCUCCACACUGGUGUGAGGGACACUACUAAGUGCGGCAGAGUUUGCACUCAGGAUAGAGAAAUAUGGACUCACGCACAGAUUCCAGCUGAGUCCCUCCGAUGUGCUAGGUACUAUGUCCAGCCCCCCAGGAUUCACCUGUAAGCAGGACAGUCUUUUGGAUGACAGAGGGAAUUCUCAUAUAUCCACAGGCAGAUGGAAUUUACAAGUGGAAAGACCUAGAAGUUCAGAGACAGGGGGACUGAACUUUUUGCUUUCAGUCAGAAUCUUUGCUUACGGUUGUGCAAAUGCUUGCAUUGGUGGGUUUCCAUGCCAUAUAACGUGCUACAUAUUUUUACGUUACCCUUGCACAUAAGCAUACUGUUGGGAGGGAAAAUGAAGAGGGUGGAGGUGGUAACAAACUCAAGCUAAGGAAAUGGAAUUUGGAUGGGUACAAAGUCCAGAGAAUUAGCUUGAGGAAAAUGAACCAGGAUUCACACAGGAGUUUUCAAACAUCUCAAUAUCAGGACCCCUUUACCCUCUUAAAACUUACUUCGUGAGGACCUUAAAGAGCUUUUGUUUGUGUGACUUAUAUGUAUUAAUAUUUACUAUAUUAGAAAUUAAAAGUAAGGAAUGGUUGUA